GUGUAACACGACAAGAGCUUUUUUGUAUUUAUUUUUCUCUUAUCAGUUUCAAAACAGUGAGAUAGAGGUUUCUGUGGGAACAACUGUUUAGUGUGCUUGCUGACAAGCCUGGAAGUCAAACCAUCUGAGCACAGCGCCAGAAAGCAUUCAUCAGGAGAUCCCAGUGAUGCCACAGCUAUUAGAAACCAUCAGAAACCAGGAGCCAAAAGAGCAAGUUCAGCCUGUGGGUGGGAUGGUAUUACUCUCUUCCUUGUCAAUCACAGUGACCGUAGCCAAUCAUGGUGGCCUGUGAGCUUGUGUGUGAGGAAGAGGUCACAUAUUGAGCACUUAUCUGAGUGUGUUACAGUACAUCACCAAUUACACCUUUGCAUUGCAUUUGCUUCAGUCUGCUGCCAUCAGCUUCAUUCAUCAGGCUGUCAGGAAGCUGAACUCGCUCCCGAACUUGCCCCCCCUCCCUUUUCUGCCCCAGGCACCACAGAUCUAUGAACCCACCCCACCCCUCCAAAUCCCAAAUCCCCAAGUCCUUCCACCCUCCCACUGACAUGCACCAGUCACUUUGUGCAGCAUUGGUCUGCUCAUUUGCGUUUCAGCCAUGUGCCUUGCGCUGCUUUAUUUAAUUUCUCUGUUAGUAUUAUUUGUAUACACCUUGGGACUAAGAGUAAUGCGAUUUCAAUUCUCUGUAUGUAUAUACUGU